rnacentral:rRNA from 1 species
GGGGUGAAAUCCCGGGGCUCAACCCCGAACUGCCUCCAAAACCCCUGUCUUGACGUUCGAGAGAGGUGAGUGGAAUUCCGAGAUGUAGGGUGAAAUUCGUAGAUAUUCGGAGGAACACCAGUGGCGAAGGCGGCUCACGUGGCUCGAGUACUGACGCUGAGGUGCGAAAGUGUGGGGAGCAAACAGGAUUAGAUACCCUGGUAGUCCACACCGUAAACGAUGAAUGCCAGUCGUCGGCGUAGCAUGCUAUGCGGUGACACACCUAACGGGGAUUAGCAUUCCGCCGGGGAGUACGGUCGCAAGAUUAAAACUCAAAGGAAUUGACGGGGGCCCGCACAAACGGUGGAGCAUGUGGUUUAUUCGAAGCAACGCGCAGAACCUUACCAACCCUUGACAUCCUGUGCUACAUCCAGAGAUGGAUGGUUCCCUUCGGGACGCAGUGACAGGUGCUGCAUGGCUGUCGUCAGCUCGUGUCUGAGUAUGUUCGGUUAAGUCCGGCAACGAGCGCAGCCCACAUCUUCAGUUGCCAGCAGUUCGGCUGGGCACUCUGGAGAAACUGCCCGUGAUAAGCGGGAGGAAGGUGUGGAUGACGUCAAGUCCUCAUGGCCCUUCGGGUUGGGCUCACACGUGCUACAAUGGCAUCACAGUGGGUUAAUCCCCAAAAGAUGUUCAGUUCGGAUUGUUUCUGCAACUCGAGAGCAGAAGUCGGAAUCGCUAGUAAUCGCGUAACAGCAUGACGCGGUGAAUACGUUCCCGGGCCUUGUACACACCGCCCGUCACACCAUGGGAGUUGGUUCUACCUGACGGCCGUGCGCUAACCUUCGGGAGGCAGCGGACCACGGUAGGAUCAGCGACUGGGGUGAAGUCGUAACAAGGUAGCCGU